AAGUCGAACCGCUGAAGCUUUGGUGCUUGCACUGGGUGGAUGAGUGGCUGAACGGGUGAGUAAUACGUGAGUAACCUGCCCUUGACUGUGGGAUAAGCCUGGGAAACUGGGUCUAAUACUGGAUACGACAUGUCACCGCAUGGUGGUGUNUGGAAAGGGUUUUACUGGUUUUGGAUGGGCUCACGGCCUAUCAGCUUGUUGGUGGGGUAAUGGCUCACCAAGGCGACGACGGGUAGCCGGCCUGAGAGGGUGACCGGCCACACUGGGAAUGAGACACGGCCCAGACUCCUACGGGAGGCAGCAGUGGGGAAUAUUGCACAAUGGGCGAAAGCCUGAUGCAGCGACGCCGCGUGAGGGAUGACGGCCUUCGGGUUGUAAACCUCUUUCAGCACGGAAGAAGCGAAAGUGACGGUACGUGCAGAAGAAGCGCCGGCUAACUACGUGCCAGCAGCCGCGGUAAUACGUAGGGCGCAAGCGUUGUCCGGAAUUAUUGGGCGUAAAGAGCUCGUAGGCGGUUUGUCGCGUCUGCUGUGAAAGCCCGGGGCUUAACCCCGGGUGUGCAGUGGGUACGGGCAGACUUGAGUGCAGUAGGGGAGACUGGAAUUCCUGG
rnacentral:rRNA from 1 species